CACAACAGAGCUUCCAUAGCUCUCAAAGAAGUUCCUUAGGGUUUUGAAGCAAGUCCAUCAUCUGCAACUCAAAAUUAAGAAGCGAACACAUCAAUGCGAUCCUUACGACAUAGCUAUACAAGCAUAAGGAGGGGUGUGGAUCAAAAGAAACAAGGUUUGGAAGCAAGAACACAAGAG